rnacentral:tRNA from 1 species
GGCUACAUAGCUCAGCUGGUUAGAGCGCAGCAUUCAUAAUGCUGAUGUCCCAGGUUCAAAUCCCGGUGUAGCCACCA